GCUGGGCGUGGUGGUGCGUGCCUGUAAUCCCAGCUACUCAGGAGGCUGAGGCAGGAGAAUCACUUGAACCCAGGAGGUGGAGGUUGCAGUGAGCUGAGAACAUGCCACUGCACUCUAGCCUGGGCAACAGUGUGAGACUCUGUCUCAA
rnacentral:SRP_RNA from 1 species